rnacentral:pre_miRNA from 2 species
AAACCGCUUGUUCUUGAGCUAGAAAGGUGACAUAAAAUCAUGUAUGACAACGCGAUAUUAUGCACAUUUUCUAGACCAAGACAUGAUUUAUCGGUU